rnacentral:rRNA from 1 species
AUUGAACGCUGGCGGCAGGCCUAACACAUGCCAGUCGAGCGAGCGGCGGACGGGUGAGUAAUGUAUGGGGACUGCCCGAUAGAGGUGGAUAACUACUGGAAACGGUAGCUAAUACCGCAUAGUAUCGGAUAACCCAUAUGGGAUUAGCUAGUGGGUGAGGUAAUUGGUCACCUAGGCGACGAUCCCUAGCGGGUCUGCGAGGAUGAUAAGCCACCCUGGGACUGAGACACGGCCCAGACUCUUACGGAGGCAGCAGUGGGGAAUAUUGCACAAGGGGGGAAAGCCUGAUACAGCCAGGCCGCGUGUAUGAAGAAGGCCCUAGGGUUUUAAAGUACUUUCAGUCGGGAGGCGUUACCGACAGAAGAAGCACCGGCUAACUCCGUGCCAGCCGCCGCGGUAAUAC